rnacentral:snRNA from 1 species
AUCGCUUCUCGGCCUUUUGGCUAAGAUCAAGUUUAGUAUCUGUUCUUAUCAGUUUAAUAUCUGAUACGUCUAGAUUAGACUUUUCUAGGAAAUACAUUCAGAAAUUGUU